rnacentral:miRNA from 1 species
AAAAUACCAAAGCCAAAGAGAGAGAGAGAGAGAGAGAUGCCAGCGAAUAAAGUGCGUGUACAACAACUGAGUGUUCAAAGGAAAAAACAAAACUGUUCUUUCUCUUUUUCCUUUUUUUUUUCUCUUCCUUUU